GACGAACGCUGGCGGCGUGCUUAACACAUGCAAGUCGAACGGAAAGGCCCUGCUUUUGUGGGGUGCUCGAGUGGCGAACGGGUGAGUAACACGUGAGUAACCUGCCCUUGACUUUGGGAUAACUCCAGGAAACUGGGGCUCAUACCGGAUAGGAGCUCCUGCUGCAUGGUGGGGGUUGGAAAGUUUCGGCGGUUGGGGAUGGACUCGCGGCUUAUCAGCUUGUUGGUGGGGUAGUGGCUUACCAAGGCUUUGACGGGUAGCCGGCCUGAGAGGGUGACCGGCCACAUUGGGACUGAGAUACGGCCCAGACUCCUACGGGAGGCAGCAGUGGGGAAUAUUGCACAAUGGGCGGAAGCCUGAUGCAGCAACGCCGCGUGCGGGAUGACGGCCUUCGGGUUGUAAACCGCUUUCGCCUGUGACGAAGCGUGAGUGACGGUAAUGGGUAAAGAAGCACCGGCUAACUACGUG
rnacentral:rRNA from 1 species